ACGCUGGCGGCAGGCCUAACACAUGCAAGUCGAGCGGUAGAGAGAAGCUUGCUUCUCUUGAGAGCGGCGGACGGGUGAGUAAUGCCUAGGAAUCUGCCUGGUAGUGGGGGAUAACGUUCGGAAACGGACGCUAAUACCGCAUACGUCCUACGGGAGGAAGCAGGGGACCUUCGGGCCUUGCGCUAUCAGAUGAGCCUAGGUCGGAUUAGCUAGUUGGUGAGGUAAUGGCUCACCAAGGCGACGAUCCGUAACUGGCCUGAGAGGAUGAUCAGUCACACUGGAACUGAGACACGGUCCAGACUCCUACGGGAGGCAGCAGUGGGGAAUAUUGGACAAUGGGCGAAAGCCUGAUCCAGCCAUGCCGCGUGUGUGAAGAAGGUCUUCGGAUUGUAAAGCACUUUAAGUUGGGAGGAAGGGCAGUAAAUUAAUACUUUGCUGUUUUGACGUUACCGACAGAAUAAGCACCGGCUAACUCUGUGCCAGCAGCCGCGGUAAUACGGAGGGUGCAAGCGUUAUCCGGAUUUAUUGGGUUUAAAGGGUCCGUAGGCGGACUCGUAAGUCAGUGGUGAAAUCUCAUAGCUUAACUAUGAAACUGCCAUUGAUACUGCGGGUCUUGAGUAAGGUAGAGGUAGCUGGAAUAAGUAGUGUAGCGGUGAAAUGCAUAGAUAUUACUUAGAACACCAAUUGCGAAGGCAGGUUACCCAUGUCUUAACUGACGCUGAUGGACGAAAGCGUGGGGAGCGAAC
rnacentral:rRNA from 1 species